CGGGCUCGCCUCUUCAGCUCAUAUAAGGUAAAAGGCAGAGGGGUCUUUGCAGCCAGGGAGCAGCGGGCAAGGGGCUAAGGGGAGGGGGGCCCAGUGCCAGCUGUUUAAAAGUGCCCCUGUGGCAGUGGCAGUGAGGGGUGCCAGAGGCCCAGUGAAGUUAGUUGAGAAGCAGUGAUACCUCCAACCAUCCCCCAAAUGGGCUGGCCCACGUCUCCAGGCCACAAGGAGCCACACCUGGAUGGACCCCAAGAGAGCCUCCCCAGAGCUUCCCGACAGAAGACACAGGCUGCCCCCCGGGGCCAAGCGACAUUUCCUGAAGACAGUGGGGAACAGGGAAGAAAAAACAGUCCGUCCUCUGGGAGUAGGAGGAUGUGGACAGCCAGCACCAGGUAAGAUUCUGCCAGGUAAGACUGUGAGGCCACCUGUUCGAUUGCCUCUUUUGAUGGAAUGGGAAACAGGGAGGCAGUGAGAGGUGCUUGUGAGAAGGGAUCACACCCCUUGAGUCUCCCUAGUGGGACCCAUCUCCUGACUGGGGACCCAGAGCAAGGAGAGGCCUCUUGUGGAGUAACGGGGACAGGAGAGCUAUAGACCCCCUUCUCAGUGGGGCCUCAUUUGAAAGAGAAAUGGGGUCAAGGCCAGCUCUGUCUGCCUCCCAGCAAGGACGCAAAACUCAAGGGAGGAGUUCCUGGAGCCAGAGAGUGGCAGAAUGACAUCUUUCCUGCACCUCUGCCCUCCUCCCAAUCCAGCUGCACCACCUUCUUCUCCAGGAAGCCCUCCUAGCUCCCCCAGGGAGGAGGAACCUAAGCCUUCAGCAGUCCUCUCUGGGCUCUCUCUUAGGCCACUUGGGUCUGUCCCCUAUUCAACUCACCAAGGGCAUUUAUCCUUCCAUCUCAGCCUGACUGCGCUCCUCCAGGGUAAGGACCAUAUCAGAUUCAGGCCUGUCCCCUCAGCACGUAGAAGACGCAUUUGGUUUGCUAAAUGGAUGGAUGAAAUGGUUAGACCUUGUCCUCAACCCUGAUAGACUGGUAUAGUGGGUCAGGGGAGGAGAUGUUCAGCACGGAGGUUAAAAGUCAUGAUCCUGAGGUGGCUGUUCUGAUAGGAACCCAAGCUGGGCUCCUAGCUCUGUGCCCUUAGAAAAUCCCCUUCUCAUGGAACCUUGGGAUGCAUGGGGAUUAGCACAAUGAAAACAUUCAAAACAUGAUCGUUCUUUUUACCAUCAGCGUCACUGUGGUCUUUCUAGAGACAAAGGAACAGAACCAGGCAACCUACAGCCACAGAGGAUACGGAAGCAAAUACCUUCCCCUGGUCAAAGGCCUCAACCUCUGGCCCGGUGUCAGAGUUUCCCACAGGAGCGUGGGAAUGCCUCUCAUCCAUUUCCUGUCUCUGCACCCAGGAGAGCUGCUAUCUUUGCGGCAAUACUCUGAGCCCAACGGGGUGUGCUGGAAAUAGCCACCAAUUCCCCUAGUGCAAGCAGGGCUGUGACCCUGGAACCGUCUCCUCCCCUUCCUGGCUCGCCAUGUGCAAUGAUAAGGCUCUCCUGACCACCGCACAGCUGUUCUGCAGAUUAAACAUGGAAGGGCGGUUUUUCAAAUGGCAGGCACUCAGAUGCCACCCCCCCUUUUUUUUCUCAGAUGCCCCCUUUUUAACUUUUGCCAUAUCUGCAAACAAUCAUAAGAUUUUAAAUUUUAAGAUAAGUCUUUUUUAAUACCUAAAAUAGGAAACUAAAUACUGUCCAUAAUUAGGAGAUAACAAAGAUAAGAGAGACAGUAAAUAUGCAGCAGCACUCUUACUCGUUCCCCUUGAGCAAUGGCUUGCAAGGUCCUGGACUUGAGGGAGAUAAACAGGAGCCUGAAAAGUGUCAGAGACAUGAUAGCACCAAACCGAGGCUCUUUCCCCCCAGAAAACAAGGACUGGAAGCAAACUGACAGGGAACAGCCUGGGUCACUGUGUUUUACAAAGUCUGUGCUCAGGCCACAUAUGCAGCAAAAUUGCGAGAAGCCAAAAGCGGUCAGGUGAAAGAGCUUUGGCAAGAGUCCCGCACCGAGGAAUGCAGGGUCUGGCCUAUCAGCUGGCCUCCCAGCAGCAAAGGCUCACUUCUGGGGGACGACCCUCCCUGCUUCUUACUGAAAACUCCACGUUGGCCAGGCCAGGCAUCUUCUCUUGCAGAACUAGUGGGAGCAGUCCGAGAGUAGAGUAGACAGACUGGGCUGUCCAGGACCCCCCAAGCUGGGUCCUGUUGUUGGAAUCACUCCCCAGCCAAACGCAGUUUGGAAGAAGUUCCUACUCAUAUUAGAGGAAGGCAGUUCUUUGGGUGGGAAUACCUCAUAGAGGGGCUGACCUGCCCCAAGUGGCAGACCAAAGGAAAACACUCUGCUGUUUGGGGCCUGAUGUCAGAUUUCCAUCCGAGGCAUAAGAGACACUAAUUUUUGAAGGAUGUGAGUGUUUUCCUGCCCUCUCCCAGCCCUGAGAAAAGGCUGCCGGCCCCCUCCGCCCUUCAGACAUCCCUGAAAGUACAUGUCAUCCAGCAUCAAGGCCAUCACAGUGGUAUCAGCAGUGCAGGAGGGCUGCCCUGAGAUCUUGGUGGGACAGGAGAAGGGGGUACAGGGCUCUGCCUGCUCACUCAGAGGUUCCCACCUAAUGGGAAUGGGUGACUGAAUACAUACUGACAUACAUGACAUACAUGACAUACAUGAAUACAGACUGACAUACAUGACUGAAUGGCCAUGUAGAUCAUUCAUUUUCCUCUUAAACAGGUCAAUGAAUGAUCUACAUGGCCAUUCAGUCAUCUACCAGCAGCACUCCCUGGGGUCCCUCACCAUGUACAAAGGGCUUCACAAGGCCCAGGGAUCCCCACCACAAACAAACAUGGGUGCUGUCCUCAGGGAACUGGAGUUCUACCCCAGUCAGACCCAAAGGCAAAGAGCUCUGACACUGGAGAGAACGUGGCUGAAGAACAUGAUUCAUUCACUCGGACAACACAUGUUAAGCAUCUACCAUCACAAAUGCAAUCAAGGAUGAGAAAGAGGGCAGAGAAGACUUCCCUGGUGGUUCAGUAGUGGAGAAUCUGCCCUGCAAAGCAGGGCACUCAGGUUCAAUUCCUGCUCAGGGAGCUAAGAUCCCACAUGCCACCGAACAGCUGAGCUCUCAUGCCACAACCACACACCGCACGAAGACUGCACGUGCCGAAACUAAGACCUAAUGCAGUCAAAUAACUAAAUUUUUAAAAAAGAAAGAAAGAGGGCAAAGGAUGUGGACCAGGGAAUUCUGAUGUCUGAAAAAGUCAAAGAGGGCUUCACAGGAAAAGUGGCCAUUUAAGUAGAGACUCAUCCCACCAAGAAGAGAUGGGCAGGGGAGUGAGAGGGAGUAACACGGUUCCUGAGAGCCCCAAGGUGGUGGGCACAGGAUUCCCUGGAGGAGUGGAAAAAGAGGGCAAGGGCCCAAGAGGGACAGCCCAGCUGGGCUAGAUAGGGCAGGCCUAUAGCCUUUUGUAAGGGUUUUAGAAUUCAGCCAGAAGGAGACCUUUUACCAUUUUAAACCCAGGAGAAAUAUGGGCACAUUUGCAUUUUGAGAAAUCAUUCUGAGAGGAUGGCUGGGAAGGAUGGGUGGGAAGUUGGCGGGAGCAGAAGCAAGGGAAGCCAGGUGGGAGGCUGAAGCAAAUGUUUGAUGAUAUAAAAUAUAAAGUACCAUGAAUGUGCCAUUUGGCUGGGAUACACCAAGCAUAAAGACGAGGUAUGGAGUCAAAAAGGUAGACCAUCCCCCAGGGUGAGGGGUGGUGGGGCGGUAGAGGGACCUUUGGGAUGAUGAAAUGUUCUAAAAGUGUGGUGAUGCUUGUGACACUCUGUGUUGUUGGAUUCACGCUCAGUCAUGUCCAACUCUUUGUGACCCCAUGGACUGUAGCCCGCCAGGCUCUCUUCCAUCCAUGGAAUUUUCCAGGCAAGAAUACCGGAGUGGUUUGCCAUUUCUUCCUCCGGUGGAUCUUCCCAACCCAGGGAUGAAACCCUCAUCUCCUGCAUCUCCUGCACUGCAGGCAGAUUCUUUCCCACUAAGCCAUCAGGGAAACCCAACUCACCACUCUGUGACUGAACUAAAAAACCAUUUCAUUGUGUAAUUUGAAUAGGAGGAUUGUAUCUCAACGAAACUGUUUAAAAAGAAAAGGAAGGGUGAAGCUUGGUCCCAGAGGGCUCAGAUGCCAGGCUGAGGACAGGAAGCACACCCAGUGUAGCUGCAGCAGCCUCCAGGGCAGGACCUGGAGGGAGGAGCCGAGGCCCCUCUAAUGCCCCUUCUCCUGCCUAGGGUGGACUCCCUGCCUUCGGCCCCUGGUGCAGAGCGGUGUAGCGUCCUGUCUCCCAGCCUGAGGUGCAGUGCUGCAUCUCUGGUCAGUUGGGAGUCUGAGAUGAAGCACUGUAGCUCGGGAAGGGAGAAGUUGUUCUGCAGCCGUCGCCAGAAGUGGUAAGUGGUGUGGUGCCUGCAGGCACCAGGAAGGACGGGAGUGUUUCCAGUCUCCAGAAUGUCCGCUGAGGAAGCACUGGACUUGAGUCCCAUCUGUGUCACUAUCUGCUUCAUGAUUCUGGGCAAGUCCUGACUCCUCUGUGCACCGCAGUUUGUUCAUCUGUAAUAUGAGAUUUUGGAGCAUUUGGUGGUAGCCAUUACCCAGUACCCUGACUCUGCUUUCUCCUGAGCCCAUGGCAGACCCGGCUAAUCAGUCAAGGUAUCCUUUCUUAAAGCAUUCAGAUGCGGCUUCAGAAUCCUUCUUAAUGCUAAGUCCUAGAGAGGUGCUAUUGAUUCAAAGCUGAAACACUUCAUCAUUUGUGAACUGGUCAAUUCCUAAAAAAUCUUUCAGACUAAAGACAAGGUCCUGGGCUCUGAGUCCAGCUCUUUACUCUUUGAGGUGUUGCCUAAACUAAUCCAAGCAUCUCCCAAAUAUCUGAUCCCUCUCAGGGGCUUCAGACUAGUCAGAAAUAGCAGAGGGAAACCACUGGGCUAAGCACAAUUUUAUUUAACCUCCCUACAAGCUUGGGAGGUGGAUUUUAUUGACCCAUUUUCCAGAUGAGGAAACCGAAGCUCAGGUAAACAACUUGCCCAAGGUCACACAUAAAUUAUGUUGAGCUGGGCUUGGAGCCUAAUCUGUCUGCCUUCAGAUUCAUGUUCUUACCCACUGCGUGUGACUUGGGAACCUGGGAUUGGGGGAGCAGGAGGAGAACACAAUAAAUCCUGUUCUAGUCUUGUCCUUACAUCCUGGGUCACUUUUAGCAAAGACAGACUGAGACAUUUUCCAGUAAUCCUAUAGACUUCCUUCCUCUUCUUCCCGCCUCCCACCAUUGUAUUUAUCUCACCUUUCAAGUAGGUCCUAUACCAUCGCAUUUUAUAAUUAGGGAAAACUGAGGUUAAGUGAGUUGCUGGAGGUCACCAGUAAGGAAGGUGCCAAAUAGAGACUGGGAACCAGAACUGUCCAGGUGGUUUCGAGUAGAACCCUCCCUCUGGCUGGAGGCUCAGGAAUACACACAAUCCAUGGCAACUGAAGCGGGGGGUGGGGUGUUACCAGAUGACUUCUGGUCGACAACAUGGCCUCUGACUACAGGAAGGUACUUUCCAGGGCCACUGAAGUUCCAGGCACUACCCCCUCCCCUGAAGCAAUCAUCCACAUCCCGCCAGACAUGGUGGCCACACUGGCUUCUGCAGAUGGGGCUGGAUGCAGAAGAAAACCCCAGCUGGUCCUUAGGGAUAUGGCAGGGCCUUGGUGCUGAAGGCCACUCUCUCACCUUGUCCUCACGGUCCAGUUUUCCCAGGAAUCCCUUAGAUGCUAAGAUGGGGAUUCCUGGAAAUACUGUUCUUGAGGUCAUGGUUUAACAGCUGGAUUCGCCUCCUUCCCACCCCAAGUUGCCCCCGCGGGACUUGGGCUCAAGCACGGCAUGAGGUCACGUGGAAGGCCAUGCACUGGAGGUAAGAGGACUUGAGGACUGUGUUCUUGACCUUUAAAUUGCUUUUCUUUCCAUUUUGUCCAUUUCGCAACAUCCUGUGAGGCUGGAAUGGGAACUUCACCUCUGUCCUACUCUUGGGAAAUUUGUCCAGACACUCAGUUGAGCAGUGGUUGAACCAGGACACCAUAAAGCUUGUGUCUCUUUCCACCUCCCCCAACCCCCAUCCCACUUCCCAGCAUGCCAAGCAGUGGUAGGGGUGGGGUCACAAUAUCAAAUCCACAUUAGUGAUAAACAAAUAAAUAUAUGAUAAUUUAUUUUAAAAGUUCACUAGAUCAGUUAACGUAAACUAAAAAUCUGUAAGUUUUAGUUCGAUUUGGAAUACCACAGAAAAAUUUUGUAAUUUUUCAUCAAGGUAGAGAAGACAAAAAAGCUCAGACUGCCCUCUUGUGGUGACGCCUGCCACAACCCUGGAGAACCCAGGAACACUGCGCUGUCCUACACACACACACACACACACACACACACACACACACACACACUCCUUUUGAACCAGCUUAAGACCCAUCCACCAUUUCAUUACCAAUGAUGUCUCCAUCAUUUACAGUUUAAUUUAACUCACAUUACCUGGCUUUGUCCUCAAAACUCCCGAAGGUCAGUGAGAUGGUGAAGUUCAGAGAGGUGAAGUGACCAGCCCCUGGUCACCCAGAUAGCAUUAGGCAGAGCCAGGAUCUGUUUCGAGUUCAGUGACUCGGCCAAAAGUAAAAACUACAAAAAUAAAAAAUAAAAGGAAGACAUCUGAAUAGAUGCAGAAAAUGCUGGCUGAAUGCCAGAAACCUGAUGUGGCCCAGGUGCAAUACUAGAACUUUUCACAAAAUCUUCCUAGUGCUUUUUAUGGAGUUUGUAGAGACAAGAGGUGCCAUGACCGCAGGAUCCUUACUUUGGGGUCUAGUAGCCAUGUUCCCAGGGACCAAGUGGCUCCCGCUUAUGUAUCAGGCUGUCUCUCUUAACAGGCCAUGCUGCAGACAAUUUACAAAGUAUCAGAUUCCCGGCCCUCUCCUCCUCAGAGACUGGAGCUGGCCUGACCAUGAAGAAAUCUGAUUUGCUCCAAAUGAUAAUAAUAGCUUCCACUUAUUGAGUAUUUGCAACUUACCAGGCACUGUGUUAAACACUUUCACAAGCGUUGUUCCAUUCAAUCUUCACACCAACUCAGUGAGAUAGGUUCUAUCACUUAUUCCACUUCACAGAUGACGCAGCCAAGACACAGACGUUAAAAGACUUGUCUAACAUCACACAGCUGACAAGUUGUAAGACUGAGUCAAAUCAAGUCUGUGUUUAUACUUGUCACCUGCCCCUGCCCCCUCUCUCCCAUUUGGCCUGGUCUGGCUGGUAGAGCUGUCUCCUGUGGCUUCCCCUGGGGCAGAUGGUAAAACAAACCUUCAGCGAGACCCAAGCGGUCCCUCCUGUGUUCUGUGACUAAUAAUAAAGUGUGAGACCCUUGA